GGAGAAAAGCAGGGGAUCGCAAGACCUUGUGCUUUUGGAGCGGCCGAUGCCUGAUUAGCUUGUUGGUGGGGUAAUGGCCUACCAAGGCUUCGAUCAGUAGCUGGUCUGAGAGGACGGCCAGCCACACUGGGACUGAGACACGGCCCAGACUCCUACGGGAGGCAGCAGUGGGGAAUUUAGGACAAUGGGCGAAAGCCUGAUCCAGCCAUGCCGCGUGAGUGAAGAAGGCCUUCGGGUUGUAAAGCUCUUUCGGCCGGAAAGAAAAGAUUGCAACUAAUAAUUGCAAUUCAUGACGGUACCGGAAGAAGAAGCACCGGCUAACUACGUGCCAGCAGCCGCGGUAAUACGUAGGGUGCGAGCGUUAAUCGGAAUUACUGGGCGUAGAGGGUGCGCAGGCGGUUUUGUAAGUCAGAUGUGAAAUCCCCGGGCUUAACCUGGGAACUGCGUUUGAAACUACAAAGCUAG
rnacentral:rRNA from 1 species